AGCCCACAUGGUUGUCUUUCCUUCUGCUCCCAGCCCUCUCCCUCCUUGCAGGGCUGGGUGCAUCCUGUGGCAAGGGGCUCACUUAGGUGCUUCCCCUGCCAGGCUGAGCCUGUGCCCACUCUGUCCCUAGCUGGCGUUCUCCGGGUUGGUUGGCAUUGUAUCCUGGAAGCGGCCAUUCACUCUAGUGAUCUCUUUCUUCUCCUUGCUUUCGGUGCUCUGUGUCAUGCUCAGCAUGGCUGGUUCUGUCCUCUCCUGUAAGAACGCUCAGCUGGCUCGGGACUUCCGAGAAUGCUCCAUGAACCUGCUCUUCAGUGUCUGUGGGCUUACCAUUUGUGCUGCCAUCAUCUGUACCCUCUCUGCUAUUGUCUGCUGUGUCCAGAUCUUCUCCCUGGAUCUGGUGCAUGUGCAGCUUGCCCCUGAACGCUCAGUCUCAGGCCCCCUGGGGUCCCUGGCUUGUACAUCUUCGCCCCCAGCUCCUCUCCUCCACACCAUGCUGGACUUGGAGGAAUUCGUCCCACCUGUGCCCCCACCACCCUACUACCCU
rnacentral:lncRNA from 1 species